CGGCUGUAGCAACAUCAAUGCAAGGGAAGAAAACUGGUCGAUUUGCCAUCACAUUUUCAGUUGACAUUUCGCUUACCAAACUUCUCAUAUCA